CUGCUUGUUGAAAAGGAGUGUUGUAGUGCCAGAGAGCUUCUUCACUAGCCACAACCAUGAGACGAAAACAAACCCAAAGCAGUCAAAAAAGUCACGAUGAAGAAUUAUUUAUGGGCACAAAUUCGGCGUCAACCUGCCAUCUACUGGAACUGCACAGUGCUCCCAGAUAGGAACCUGAACCGUAAUCAGACACAACAGAGACCACAGGCAACUUUGGAAUAAAGGGCAUCCAGCAUUUUUGCACCUGUUUCUAACUUCAAAUAAAAGAGGAUAGCUCCAAGUUAGGGUGGUGGCUCUUUGAACUGGUGGCUUAAAUGUUGGCCAAGGUUGCUAUGGAAUUCAAGAUCAUCUGAAGGUAAUAUGCAGCAUGAAAAAUGCUGGGACUCUAGCUGGACACAAACAUUGACUUAUCUUUUGGCAAUGGCUGCAGCAGGGAAGCAGAGGAAGAAAUACAUGGAGGAUUAUGAAAUGCUCAAAUACUCUACAGAGCUAGCCUGAGGAUGUGAGUUAUAUUGAUCCUGUGU